GCCGGGCGCGGUGGCGCACGCCUGUAGUCCCAGCUACUCGGGAGGCUGAGACAGGAGGAUCGCUUGAGUCCAGGAGUUCUGGGCUGUAGUGCGCUAUGCCGAUCGGGUGUCCGCACUAAGUUCGGCAUCAAUAUGGUGACCUCCCGGGAGCGGGGGACCACCAGGUUGCCUAAGGAGGGGUGAACCGGCCCAGGUCGGAAACGGAGCAGGUCAAAACUCCCGUGCUGAUCAGUAGUGGGAUCGCGCCUGUGAAUAGCCACUGCACUCCAGCCUGGGCAACAUAGCGAGACCCCGUCUCUUUU
rnacentral:SRP_RNA from 1 species